GAUCCUCUUCUUCCCCUAAGCCCAAUGCCGACCGACUGCCCCCUCCACUUCUCCAAACCACCGACAACUCCUCUUCUCCCCUCUUCCGCGUUCAUAACCCCCGGCCAAAGGAAAGCCCGAAGCCCCAGCGUCACUUUCCCUCUACCUCUUGCGUCUGCCCAAAGUCACCGAUCACCUCUCACGUCGUCGAUCACCCUCUCGCGUCACCCUCGGUCGCCACAGCCGACGCCACUCCAAUCUCCGACGCUACUGACCGCCGGGUGCCACUCCGAUUAGUGCUACCAUCUUCGCCAACCGAUUGUUGAUGUCGGCACCGCCGCACCCUCUGCCCUAACGUCGACCACCUCUGCUCUCAACCCCCUCCCAUCUCGCCGAUUAGCGGACACUGAGCAUCGACGCCGGCUGUUCAAGCCCUAGCAUCGAGUUUCUCCAGCUUUGGCACUUGCGUGCAGUCCCGAUCUUGCAAAACACCAACGGUUCUUCUUUACCGCGCACUAGUUCUAUUGUGUUUGGUUGAGUAGUUGACGGUGUCUCUAUCGGAGAAGAAAUCGGCUGGUACCAAGAUUGGGAUUUGGAUUCGGGAUGAGCACUUCAACACAGAGGUUGAUUAGCUCGAUCUACAUUGGAGGCGGUUGAUGCAAUUCUCAAGUGACACCUGAAGAAUAGUGGAUUGAUCUUGAUUUUGGAAUGUGAAAUGCAGAGAAAUGCAGAAAUAUACUUUUUAAUUCUGAAGUGUGUUGAGCUUCUACAAUGUUUCUUAAUCAGUGAAGAGAUCAAGCAAAGUUUGAAUUCUGUAUGAAGAAAUCUUUAUAGCUUGAGUUGGAAUUCAAGAACUCCAACCAACUAAUUGCAAACUUUUUUGGCAACACUUUGAAGAGGAUGCUCCUGCACUUGGAAUUUCUGUGAAUAUUAGAAUGGAAAGCUAUGGGAAAACACUAAAUUUAUGCUUUGUAAUUUCUGAAAUUUCAUUGAAUUGGAAAGAAGCUGAAUUCUGGGGAAUGUGUAGCUGAAAUGGUACAUAACAAGUAAAAGAGAAAUGUUGAAUUCUGAAACAUAUCAAGUUAUAGCAGAUUUUUAAUCAGAAUCAAGCUUAAGAAGAUAUAUUUGGCUCUAUUUGCUAUUUGUUGUACUUCCUCUACAAGUAGUGCCUGAUCCGUGUGCCAACUGAAAUUUUUAGAUUACUAGAAUUUGAAUUGCUGAAAUAGAAACAUUAUGUUCAAGCUGUAGAAUGCUGAAAUGGAAAUCUGGAAAACUGAAUGUUUGGAGGGCUGCUGAUUGGAAUCAUUGAAAUUUAUUUUGAAGCUGCUGAUUGAAGUAAUAAUUUAUAGAUACCAGCAUGGUGCUGAAUUCCAGAAGAAGUGCUGAAAUUGCAAAAUUUAUAGGGCUGAAUUUAUGGGUCUGUGAGGCUUGGCUGGUUAAAUAACAAUAGUUGUGAAGUAGAGAAAGUUAAGAAUGGUGUUUAUAACAACAACAACUAGGAGGAGAAGCAUAGUGUUCAUCAUCAGAAAUGCAGGACGGGAAUUAAGAUUGUUGUGCAGAUAUGCAGAAGUUAAAAAAUGUUUGAAAAAAAUGAGCAGAAAUGCAUGUAAGUUAAUGUGCAAGAAUAUACUAGAUGUAUGUAAUGAACUUUUCGAUUGGAAGGAAUUGAAGGGCAAGCUAAUUGUGAUUGAAUGCUAUGAAGAUAGUCUUUUGGAGGUUAAAGCUUUAUUGUUUGGCCGGAAUUUCCAAGUAGAUCAGAAAUGAAGAAAAUGCAGAAAUUUCUGCAAAUGAAGCAUUUUUGUGCCAUUUUAGAAAUAAGUUAUAACAAGCUAGAGUUUCUAAAAUCUGAAAAUUUUUGGAGGAUGAAUUGAUAAGGUUCUUAAAAGGCUAGAUGGAAAAGGAAUUGAGAUGUUUGGCGGCUAAAUGAUGUAUAGUUGACACAAAAUCAGGAUGCUAUACAGGGGAGGGGAUUCAGGGUUUACACUAACUGUGCUACAUGGUGGAACUUUUGGAUCACUGUGAAGUUAUAAACCAGGUGUUGUUCUUUAAGAUUAUUCAAUUGAUGACAGUCAUUGCUGGGAGCAAAUUGAUGGUUGGACAAAUUGAGAUAUACACAUCAGAAUUAAGAUAAAGUCUAGAGUACUGAAUUUUGCUACUGUUCUUGUGUAACUUUAAUUUGUUUCAUUCUCUUGCUGUCAUUGAUACUGAUUGAACUGCUUAUUAGUUUGAAUAAGAAUAACGUCUAUUGAUUCAAUGAGUGUGUGUGUUGGAUAACAUAAUUUUAAGCUGCUGGAAUUUAAAAUGCAGAGUGUCGAAUGAUAUUCUUUGCUAAGUUGGAAUGUUCAUAACUUAAGCUGGAGCUACUUAGUUUCUUGAAUUCUGAUACUUGAGUCCAAGAUUCUAAUGGAAGCAGGAAUAUGCUCCUGGAAAUUGAACAAAAGCCUCAGAUGGAUGCUACAUACUUUUAAAAGGAAUCAAAUUUUUACAUUUCUAAUGUGAUGUAUCAAUGGUGUUCCAUACUUGGUUGUGGAAUUUUGGUUAGGAAGAAGCCAAUGAGAAAAGGAAGAAGAGUGAUAAUUCCAAUGAAUCCAGAAUCUGAAUUUUAAAGUGCAGAAUUCAGAAUCAAAUCAGUGAGGUUUUGAAGUUGAAGUUGCAAAAACUACAACUCAAUUACAGUAAAUAUCAAUUCUGAAAUUGAAGUAUCAUUGGAGUUUUGAUUUGGAAUUGCCCUUGCAGUCUUUUAAGAUCUUCUCUACAGAAUUUUUGAAGCAGAUGUUAGAAUCCAGAUUCCAUUUACUGAAAUAGCAGCACUUUACUAAUUGCUGAUCUGAAAUAUGGGAAACCAAAAUUCUGCAUUUACUUAUGGGAGCCAAAAGUUUCUGAGCAGAAGGAAGUCAAUGAAAGGAGUCUAGAUUCAAGCACUAAUUUUCUGGGAAUGAAUUUCUAAUUUGGAAGCAGUAAGCACAAAAAUUCCAUAAGCUGAUUCUGCAGGAUGCAAAAUUUAUGAGACUAUGUUGCGGGGAAUUUUGUAGGAAUUUUUAAAAGAUUUUUGAAGUUGUUCUACAGAAAUAUGAGUGGAAUUCAAGAGCUGUAAUCUAAUGUUCUUGCUACCUUUGAUAACCUGUACCAUGUUGCAGAACUUGGAAUUGUUCAACUACACUGCAGUACAAGCAAUCAGUAGAAAGAAAAGGAAUCUGUCCUCGUAAGCAUUUCUGCAGGUUCAAGAAUUUCUAUUUUCCUUUGUGAUCAAAGCUGCAAUUGGUAGUUAAUGGAAUUUGAUUUGGUCUUCUACUAUUGCAAUAGAGAUGUACAUUUUUAUUGAGUCUGCCAAUCACAGAAACAGUGGACAAAUUCUGUAGCUAAAAAGGAGUAAACAGUGGUUAAAGUGUGUUGAGUUUUUGGAUACAUGAUAUGUUUUAUUGCCCGAGACGACCAAUGUUUUAAGUGUGGGGGAGGGAACUCUUCUUGGCAAGUUGAUGUGAGAUUAUUUUAGUUUCGAAAUGCUGAAAUUGAAGUGCAAAAACAGUGAAGAAGAAAGGAAAAACAGUGGCAAAACAAA